UCUGCAAAACUGGCAAGGGACAUCCGGGUAUGGGUGCUUGAUGAAGAAGGAAUUAGAUCUAAAGAAUAACAAGCAUUUGAUCAAGAGGAUUGUUGGUAGUGGUCAAUUUCUGUUGCCUUUGGGAGAUUUUAUCUAUAUCAUUUUUUUCCAAUGAAUUACUAAGUGUGGUUGUCAAACAAGCUCAACAAUGUGUAAUAAGGCAAGUCCUGUGUAAAUAGAAUUUUAUUCUGUAAGCAAUUCUACACUCAAUCGAGGAAAGAUUGUUUUUCACAGUAUAACAACUAAAACGGAUCUAAAAGUACUCAAUAAGUUUUUUGACUUCUUACUGUAGUUAAAAUUGAGAAACUCAUGCAAAUACUAACAUAAUAAGAUAGCUAUCGCACUAAGCUAUGUUAGUCUCAAGGGUCAGAUAAGUCAUGGAUCUACAAUACAAAUUGCUUUUCACUGAAAUUUGCUGCAUGUGUACAAGGUUCUAAGGUUUGAUCACGACCAAUUUGAAACACACCUAGUUUCAGAGUCCUGCUCAGUUUCAGUCAGUUUGAACUAAUUUAAGUGGUUUUAGCCUUUUUUCUCCCAAAUUUGAUUGGUUUUGAUUCUCUCCCUCACCCCUCCUCUCUCUCUCUCUCUCUGUGUAUGUAUCUCUCUCCUUGUGUGCUCAUGUACAUAUUUUUGUGUUUGUGACUUGUGAAUGUGCGGGUACACACAGCCAGUGGAGACAUGUCUGAUAAAA
rnacentral:lncRNA from 1 species